CCUGAAGAUGAGUCACUUCGCGAAACGGACCUGCGCAUGGGAGCAACUUAACACCUGGUUCUUGUAUUCCUACGUUGACGGCUGCGAGUGACAGGUUUUUCCUGACAAAUUGGCCUGCUCAUGGUUUCGUAAGCGGUUGUCGAGGCUAGGACAACUUGAACUCAAUGAAUGCAUCCUUGGGGAUAGAGAUAGAGUGUUGGAAUGCAUUUGAAAGAAGUGAAAUGGGAGUUUAGUUUUUAUUUCAUUUUCAAUGUUUGUCACGAUUACGAUGGACAGAUUUUUUUUUCAUAAAUUGAUUGAUUCGUGGUUUAGCGAGAAAUUAUUGAAGGUUCAAUCUUAUGUUAUUAAUUUAAUCUGAACGUGUCCAAUUGAGUACCGAUCAAAAUAAUUGCUGUUUUCGUUGAGGAAGUUUGAUAUUUGAGUACAUCUUCUUUUAGGACAUUUAAUUCAGAUUCUGCUACUUUUUCUUUACAGUAAGUGUCACCUGUCAAUUCGAAAGAGACUCACGGGAAAGGAAGAGACGUCAUUCUGGGGUCGCAUUUAACACUUUUCAGUUUGAAAUAAUUUUGCCUAAAUUAAGUGCAGUAGGCUUUACAAACACAAUUAUACAGAAAUAUUUGUUGGACGCUACCUAAUUAAAAGGGACAAACAGUCUGUGAUACAGUACAUAUGGGCUCAUAGAAAUAAAAUCAUGUAUCAAACUUGUGACGCUGGUACAAUAGAAUUCACUUUUGUAGUACCAGCUUUGUAACAUGUGUGAAUUAGAACUAGAAAAUAAAAUAAAAUAUACUUCAAUAUUUUCA